rnacentral:rRNA from 1 species
UACGUAGGGCGCAAGCGUUAUCCGGAAUUAUUGGGCGUAAAGAGCUCGUAGGCGGUUUGUCGCGUCUGCCGUGAAAGUCCGGGGCUCAACUCCGGAUCUGCGGUGGGUACGGGCAGACUAGAGUGAUGUAGGGGAGACUGGAAUUCCUGGUGUAGCGGUGAAAUGCGCAGAUAUCAGGAGGAACACCGAUGGCGAAGGCAGUUCACUAAGCUGUCAUUGACGCUGAGGCACGAAAGCGUGGGGAGCGAACAGG